CAAUAGCGUAUAUUAAAGUUGUUGCAGUUAAAAAGCUCGUAGUUGGACCUUGGACCUGGACAGGCGGUCCGCCUCACGGCGAGUACUGUCUUGCUGGUCUUUCCUCUUGGUGAUCUGUUGUUUCGGCAGCAGGGAACCAGGACCUUUACUUUGAAAAAAUUAGAGUGUUCAAAGCAGGCUCGACGCCGGAAUAUAUUAGCAUGGAAUAAUAAAAUAGGACGUGCGGUUCUAUUUUGUUGGUUUUUGGAAUCGCCGUAAUGAUUAAUAGGGACAGUCGGGGGCAUUAGUACUCACAUGCUAGAGGUGAAAUUCUUGGAUUUUGUGAAGACUAACUUCUGCGAAAGCAUUUGCCAAGGAUGUUUNCAUUA
rnacentral:rRNA from 1 species